CCUACGGGUGGCAGCAGUGAGGAAUAUUGGUCAAUGGACGAGAGUCUGAACCAGCCAAGUAGCGUGAAGGAUGACUGCCCUAUGGGUUGUAAACUUCUUUUAUAAAGGAAUAAAACGAGGCACGUGUGCCUCUUUGCAUGUACUUUAUGAAUAAGGAUCGGCUAACUCCGUGUCAGCAGCCGCGGUAAUACGGAGGAUCCGAGCGUUAUCCGGAUUUAUUGGGUUUAAAGGGAGCGUAGAUGGGUUUUUAAGUCAGUUGUGAAAGUUUGCGGCUCAACCGUAAAAUUGCAAUUGAAACUGGCAGUCUUGAGUGCACUUGGGGUAGGCGGAAUUCAUGGUGUAGCGGUGAAAUGCUUAGAUAUCACGAAGAACCCCGAUUGCGAAGGCAGCUUACCAAACUGUGACUGACAUUGAUGCUCGAAAGUGUGGGUAUCAAACAGGAUUAGAUACCCGUGUAGUC
rnacentral:rRNA from 1 species